CGUCAAGUGCUUGGAAAUGCAUUUUUAUCAUCGGAAAAGAGGUGGAAGAUUAAAACUUAAACAAGACACAAGAGUAACAUUUGCACUUUGUAUAUCAAAUAAAUGAACAGGUAAACUAAUGAAGUCACGAAAGUGGGAUGGUGAAUCUACUUUGUGAAGGUGGACCACCCUGUGGGAAGCAAUGCCAAAUGUCCCUGUUCCUCACUCUUCACCCACUUAACCCCCCACCCCGAACAUCCCAGAGGAGAUUGCUGAUAACUGCACACUGAAACAUACAACUAUCCAGGCGGCUCUUGGAACCUGAUCUCUGUGAGACACUCAUAACAGAUUGUCACUCACAGUCUCAAUCCAGCUUUUGGAAAGCUCAGCAACCUGCCUCAAUUACAAUCCCACUUUAACACGGAGUCAUGGAGACAUUUACAAGUCAUGGAGGCCCAUUCAGAGUUAUAGGGUUAUGACCAGCAGACCGCAGCCUGAAGAACAACAACAUUUAUUUUUACUUUUUGUGUAAACUGGGGAUUAUAUUCGCUACAGAAUUAUAUUGGGGUUGGGAACUGAGAACUGGACUCAUAAUGACUCUUUUGAGCUGGUUCAUUUUAGUGAAUAACAAAUACAGCACAACCAGUUUAGUCCAAUUCACAAAAAAAUGACUCUUGAGGUGUUUUUGUGAGUCAUCAAAUCCUUAUGAAUCAGGGUGAUUGCUGAACUAUUUUGAUUCAAUGAAAUGCAAAUAAUUACAAUUGUAAUGUUGGACUCAAAAUGAACCAAGAAAUGUUAAACAAUUGACACACUUACAUCAGUUCUGUUAUUGAAAGGCUGUUCGUAUGACAUUAGAGUUAAAGAUGAACAUUGUGAGUUUUCUUAUAUUGCAUUUUAACAAAUUACAAAUGUAAUGAUUUUUUUAUAAUUUCUAAAAAUAAAUGUAUAGUUAAGAGUAAGACCAGUUAUUGAAAUGCAUUUAUGCUACAUUAAGACAUUUUCUAUAGAAAUAUAUAUUUUUUUUACAAUAUAUUUCUGAUUUGUUGCUUGUAAUUUACUUGGUUCAGUUGUGUGGUAACGAUAGUAUAUAUCCUCUUCUCAGCUGUAAUCUGAGUUUACAUCCUUCCAGUGUAUAUUGUGAUGAACCAAAUACUUUGACUUGAGAGGUUUUUAUUUUAAGGACUGAGUCAUGUUCAGUAUAAGCAUUUGUUUCAGGAUACUGGAAAUGACAGCUCAUAAGUGUGCUGGUGUUUCCUGGAUGUUUUGUCCCUGAGUGAUUUGUGUACUGGUAUCUGUUGAUGAAGACUUGUAUAUUCAACUUGUCAAAGUGACUUAAAAUAUGUAGGGUAGUUGUGGGAACUGUCAGAGAACAAUGUACUGAAAUUGAGUAAAGCGAAUGGUCAGACCAGAUUCUGCUGAAGAUUCAUCAUCUCACAGUGGACACGUAUCAAGAAAAAAAAAAACAUGCUAGUGUAAUUUAAUCCAUUGAGAAGUACAGAACUUUUGUGAGUAAAAUGAAUAUUACAAAAGAUUGCAUCUUAUUCCA